UGUGAGUUUUACGUGUAACAAAUUAUUGUGUUUUCGUGUUAAAUUUUCGCGAAAGAUUCGAAAAUAUGAUAAUUACCACAUAGUUUUACGACUGCAUCAUAAUAAUAUUUUUCAUUUAUAAAAAUAAUCGGUGAUAAAUAUCAAAUAAAUUACGAAUAAUAAAAAUUACGCAGUCAUGGUGAAAAUCGAUCCACGUGAUUAUCGAAAACGGAAGCAAUCGCAUUAAAUUACCGUUUUUAUAUUAGCACAAUACAUGUAACUAGUGCUUGAAUUGAGUGCCUCUUCUUCGUACCAGUACCCUCGAGCCGAUUUCACGACUUUAUCGAUGUUGAUAUUCCUGAAAAGUACGCAUAUAUGUACAGUAUAGUUUGUGGUAAUUUUACCGCGCUUUUCUAAUUCGAGAUCUCGUUUCGCCGCCAUUAUGAUAAACGCGCGCAGUUGUGAUAAAACGAGAUGACAAUAAAAUUAAUGGUGUUAAUAAUCGAAAAGUGUAUUAAUUGUGCUGUUACUACGAAUACUGGGUUCUUUUAGAUUUAAAAGAAUUAAUCCAUUAACUGAGCACUCUUGGGACACGCUUGGCUGAACGUUAAUGCAGCAUUCUAUUUUAUACGAGCCUGCAAACUGCACAAUGGUCUCUCGUCGGUUAACACAUCAGUGGACGGAACAUGGCGCCGAAAAUGGAGCAAUUCAAUAGCAUUCCUGCAAUAUUUGCAACGAGAACGUCUAAAUUAAAAGACUUCUCUAUUAUAUAUACGUGAAAUUUUUUUUUUUUUUUUUUUUUGCUUCUUUGGUAUACCAUAAAAGGAAGAGGCUUUAUAUCAAUCUUGAAUUGAAACGAUAUUCCAACCUUCAAAAAAGAAAUGAACGUGUUAAGAUGAAGGAUUUAAAAAUGGAUAUGAUUACCUGCUUGGAAGAGCAACGCACCCCUCCAACCGAAUCGUUUGACCAGCACAUCUGAGAUGGGCGCGAGCAGAAAGGCGCCGAUUCCGGAUCCGCAGACCGCGAUCCCGGUGGCCAGUGCUCGCCAUCUUUCAAAAUAAAAUCCGGUUACUACGAGUAUAUCCAUGUAUCUAUGGUUCUAUUAAAAUUUCGAUCGAACAAACAAGAGGAUGAAAAGAAAUGUCGUUCACGUGCCUCGAAAAGGAAACGUUCUUUACAUGCAAGAUGAAAUACUCAGGAUGGAGGGAAACUUUUUCGUUGAGACAGCAGAGACUUGGAUGAAAUGUGUACAGGGUGAAUGGACUUAGAAAAAAGAGUGUACUUAAACGUUUGUACAAUUUGCGAAAGGACAAAGAUGCGCAGAAGGAUGUGCAAAUGGCCUUGAAAUCGUGCAAAUUUGUCCUUAACAUUCAAAGCUUCCGAGAGCCACGGGA